GAUGAACGCUGGCGGCGUGCCUAAUACAUGCAGGUCGAACGAAACUUCUUUAUCACCGAGUGCUUGCACUCACCGAUAAAGAGUUGAGUGGCGAACGGGUGAGUAACACGUGGGCAACCUGCCCAAAAGAGGGGGAUAACACUUGGAAACAGGUGCUAAUACCGCAUAACCAUAGUUACCGCAUGGUAACUAUGUAAAAGGUGGCUAUACUACCGCUUUUGGAUGGGCCCGCGGCGCAUUAGCUAGUUGGUAGGGUAAAGGCUUACCAAGGCAAUGAUGCGUAGCCGAAUUGAGAGGUUGAUCGGCCACAUUGGGACUGAGACACGGCCCAAACUCCUACGGGAGGCAGCAGUAGGGAAUCUUCCACAAUGGGCGAAAGCCUGAUGGAGCAACGCCGCGUGGGCGAAGAAGGUCUUCGGAUCGUAAAACCCUGUUGUUAGAGAAGAAAGUGCGUGAGAGUAACUGUUCACGUUUCGACGGUAUCUAACCAGAAAGCCACGGCUAACUACGUG
rnacentral:rRNA from 1 species